rnacentral:lncRNA from 1 species
GACAAGCAUUCGAGUACAUUGAGGUAUGUUUAUUUUUAUUUUCUGAUUUAGAUUUUUUUUAGUCGAAUAAUUUUUCAAUUUUUAUUAUAUAAGUUGAUUUUGAUUUAGACAGUUACCCAAAUGCUCAUCAAUACAUCAAAUUCAAACUCAACAAUACUUGGAGGCGUUAUCGAAACUAUAUAAAGGAAAAAUACUUUGAUCCAUUUGUUGAUGAUGAAUCAAUUGAAAGGAUGUAUGCUAGUCUUCCUCCAUACAUUGAUCGAUUCACUUUCGAAAAGUGUGUGGAAGAAUUAUGGACUACAGAAGAAUUUAAGGUAUUGUUUUUUAUACAUCCAUACUUCAAUUAUUUACUAUUUUAUAUUGUAAGUUGUUUAACAUUGUAUAUGAAUUUGCAGAGAAAAUCCAAAAUAAAUAAAACAAACCGGACUAAGAAGAUACUAAAUCAUAAAAC